AUUGAACGCUGGCGGCAGGCCUAACACAUGCAAGUCGAGAGAGCGGCGGACGGGUGAGUAAUGUAUGGGGACUGCCCCAUAGAGGGGGGUAACUAGUGUAAACGGUAGCUAAUACCGCAUGCUAUCUGGAGACCCAUAUGUGAUUAGCUAGUAGGUGGGGUAAUGGCUCACCUAGGCGACGAGCCAGCGCUGGUCUGAGAGGAUGAUCAGCCACACGGGGACUGAGACACGGCCCAGACUCCUACGGAGGCAGCAGUGGGGAAUAUUGCACAAUGGGCGCAAUCCUGAUGCAGCCAUGCCGCGUGUAUGAAGAAGGCCCUAGGGUUGUAAAGUACUUUCAGUCGGGAGGCGUUACCUCCAGAAGAAGCACCGGCUAACUCCGUGCCAGCAGCCGCGGUAAUAC
rnacentral:rRNA from 1 species